UAGCUUAGAGGACUUCCAUCAGUUGAUGUUCCUGGACUUGUAUUGACUGCAUAGACACUGUGGGCUUGGUGAUGUACUGGCAAUACCAAGAACCUUCUCCUUCAAUGAAGUUGCAGCUGAGUGUGCUCCUGUCUUGCAAGCAACCUAGCUUAGAGGACUUCCAUCAGUUGAUGUUCCUGGACUUGUAUUGACUGCAUAGACAAAAUGACAGGGUCUGGUAAUCUUCUGCUCUCAGGAAUGAAAAGGGACAAGUCUUCCGUCUUCACAAUAUACAAAAAUGGUCGACAACACUAUGGUUAUGAAUGUA